UGAUGUUGAUGACUUAAUAAUAUCAGUUUUAUCAAAAGUCAUUGUAUCAGUGGCUCCACAAUCAAAAAUCCACCCUUUAUCUCUAUCCCUAUUAUUACCUGACAUCUGGUACACAGCGGAAAAGUUUGAAGGCCUUUUAGGGUCAAUAUCAUGAUUAUGCAUUUUUUGGGGUUGGUUUUGCAUAAAAUGGGGUAUACUAUAUAAAUCCCUAAAUUUCGAGGGACUAGGCUGCAAAUGGGGGCUAUUCUGAUAUUUAAUAAGAGUAGGUGGGUCUUUUUGCAUAACAUGGGGUAAUUUCUGCAAUUCAUUAGAAUCAAGGGGUGGCUUUUGUAAUAUCUCGGAACUUGGGGGGUUAGUUGGCAUAAAAUGGGGUCUUUUAUGAUAAUAAGGAAAAGAUGGAGGGUUUGGUGUGAAAACACCAAACCCUAUACCUGCUUUUAAUUCUCCCCAAUUUCCUCCAGCCGCCUCCCCCUUAAUUCCCGAUACUCCAUUCUGCCCAGCGUCAGGAGCCCCGAGUUGAUAUCCGACCCGAGAUCCGGCUGCGCCAGCACCCGAUCCGCGAUCAUCUCCACCGUCACGUUCAUCCUCGCCGUGCGCCGUGCCCGCGCCCUCCCCGCGGGGCCGCGCGCCUUGCCGACCGCCGCGCCGCGGUAGAACAGCGCCGACGUCGUCUCCGGGUACCGGAAUGACGCGAAGUUGGGGUUCUUCACCGACACGUCGGCGGUCAGCGACAUGUUGCUGCCUGGCCGUGGCGUGGCGAUGCCGUUGAUCAGAUCCGCGCCGCAGCAGCUGCAGCAGCGGAGGAGUUGCCGCUGCUGUUUGACGGUGAAUUUGAUAUCUCGGAGAGUUCGAUGAAGAGCUGCCUGAGCGGUUUGGCUGACCUCUGCCGGUGGUGGUCGGCUGAAAGCCGUCUUCCGGCCGAGGCGUAUGGCAGUGGACGGUGGCAAUCCCGGUCCCGAUGGCUCCCGAUGAUGAAGGGUCCGGGUUGGUUGCCGGCUGUAGCCGGGCGGCCUCCCAUCUCACUCUUGAGAAUGCCGACUCGGCUGAGGGAACUUCCUUGAGAAUGUCCCGACGAAGUCUGUCAUAUCUCCUAUCAAAUCCGGAGAGGAACUGAAAUAAUCGGUGAUUUCCGAUCAGUUUUCUGUGCUUAUUGAUCCCUUCUUCACACCAGUCGAGUGGAUUUGGGAAAUGAAGAACAGAGGUUUUGGUUUGGUGUAUUGGUUAGGAAUGGUUUGGUGUAUUGGCUAGGAAUGGUUUUGGUUUUGGAUUAUGAACGAUGAUGAUUCGUUUCUGAGUUCCUAUGGUUGAACCUGCUGAACCUGCUCUGAUACCAUGUUAAAACAUGCUAUUAUCAUAAUGCAUAGAGAAAGAUAAAGAGAAGCAAAUGAUUGUUAUUGUAUUUCUCUUGAUGUUGUAUUGCUCCUUAUUUCUGAAGAAUUCUAUCAUCUUUUAUAAUGUAUUACAUGAUAUUAAAGUCUUACCAGGAUCCCUAUGAUUAAGGGAUCCGUGGUAAAUCUUUGACAGAUAAAUAAAGGCACGCUGCUUCUCUUUC